GCCAAAUAAUAUAUAGAAUUAAAAGACAAUUAACUAAAAUUUAAAAUAUUAAGGACCUGAUGGUGAGGAUUGAGAAUUCAAGUGUAACCCAGUUCGAUAAUUUCCUUGAUACUCCGAUUGGCCGUCCCGUACAAAUUGCCCUUGUACUCGCCGAAUUGUAGCAAUUGCCGUCCUCGAGGAAGUCCUCGCUGAAGAGUUGGGCAGCGACUUCAACGCUGAGUGUCUUGAAGAACGGACUUACCGCUUUGGUUGCUGCAUCUCCAAGACCCUCAAGGACCCCGAAGAUUUGGCUGAUCCCCAGAACAAAUUGUCUGCCCACCAAGUUCUCGACGUCCAGUGGAGCUGGGAGAACAUCAAAAGUGUCCGUAAUACGAUGGUCUCUUCCAUCACGAUCAAGUUCUUCGAGGAGACUCCCCGCAUCCAGAAAUACUUCGCCAAGUUUGGUAAAGUCGCCCUGGUCGCUGACCGUCUGGACACCAUAAUCUCGACCAUGGACAACAAACUGUAACUUCUAGGCAACAUCGACUACAUGCGUUACACCCACGCUGCUCGUAGCAUUCCCCGUAGUGCUCGGGAGUCGUUGGCUGCCAGCGGUGUCUUGUCUGAUGACAUGGAUUCCUAGAAGGGCGCUUUGGGCGUCUACGGAAUUGCCCCCAAGAAUUAAAUUAAGACCCAUGUUUACGGAUCCGCAUUCAAGCAAUAACACGGCAGGGAAAACACUUUCCGCCCGUUUCAUAUCCUGAUGUUCUUUUCUUUUUCUUUCUGUUUUUAAAAUACAACUACUUAAACAAUC